rnacentral:rRNA from 1 species
AUUGAACGCUGGCGGCAUGCUUUACACAUGCAAGUCGAACGGUAACAGGCCUUCGGGUGCUGACGAGUGGCGAACGGGUGAGUAAUGCAUCGGAACGUACCCAGAGGUGGGGGAUAACGCAGCGAAAGCUGUGCUAAUACCGCAUGUGAUCUGAGGAUGAAAGCGGGGGACCGAGCAGCAAUGUUUGGCCUCGCGCCUUUGGAGCGGCCGAUGUCGGAUUAGCUAGUUGGUGGGGUAAAGGCCUACCAAGGCGACGAUCCGUAGCUGGUCUGAGAGGACGACCCGCCACACUGGGACUGAGCCACGGCCCAGACUCCUACGGGAGGCAGCAGUGGGGAAUUUUGGACAAUGGGCGCAAGCCUGAUCCAGCAAUGCCGCGUGCGGGAAGAAGGCCUUCGGGUUGUAAACCGCUUUUGGCAGGAACGAAACGGUGUCCGCUAAUACCGGGCGCUAAUGACGGUACCUGCAGAAUAAGCACCGGCUAACUACGUG